GCAUAUCAAUAAGCGGAGGAAAAAAGAAAACCAACAGAGAUUGCCUCAGUAACGGCGAGUGAAGCGGCAACAGCUCAAAUUUGAAAUCUGGAGUCUUUCGGGCUUCCGAGUUGUAAUUUGAAAGAGGAUGUUUCGGUGCGACCCUGGGGCCUAAGUUCCUUGGAACAGGACGUCAUGGAGGGGUGAGAAUCCCGUACAUGGCUGCAGGUUUGCUUCUAUGUGAAACUCCUUCGAAGAGUCGAGUUGUUUGGGAAUGCAGCUCAAAAUGGGUGGUAAAUUUCAUCUAAAGCUAAAUAUUGGCGGGAGACCGAUAGCGCACAAGUAGAGUGAUCGAAAGAUGAAAAGCACUUUGAAAAGAGAGUUAAACAGUACGUGAAAUUGUUGAAAGGGAAGCGCUUGCAAUCAGACUCGCCUUCAGCUGAUCAACCUUCCUUCUGGUUGGUGCACUCUGCUGUUGGCGGGCCAGCAUCAGUUGGGGCGGCGGGAUAAAGGCAGCAGGAAUGUGGCUCGUUUCGGCGAGUGUUAUAGCCUGCUGUGUCAUGCCGCCAGUCCCGACUGAGGUCCGCGGUUCGCCUAGGAUGCUGGCUUAAUGGUUGUAAGCGACCCGUCUUGAAACACGGACCAAGGAGUCUAACAUCUAUGCGAGUCUUUGGGUGUAAAACCCAUGGGCGAAAUGAAAGUGAACGGAGGUGGGAGUCUUCGGAUGCACCAUCGACCGAUCCUGAUGUUCUCGGAUGGAUUUGAGUAUGAGCAUAGCUGUUGGGACCCGAAAGAUGGUGAACUAUGCCUUGAAUAGGGUGAAGCCAGAGGAAAUUUUGGUGGAGGCUCGCAGCGGUUCUGACGUGCAAAUCGAUCGUCAAAUUUGGGUAUAGGGGCGAAAGACUAAUCGAACUAUCCUAGUAGCUGGCUCCUGCCGAAGUUUUC
rnacentral:rRNA from 1 species